GAUCCUGGCUCAGGAUGAACGCUAGCUACAGGCUUAACACAUGCAAGUCGAGGGGCAGCGGGAUUGAAGCUUGCUUCAAUUGCCGGCGACCGGCGCACGGGUGAGUAACGCGUAUCCAGCCUUCCGCAUACUCGGGGAUAGCCUUCUGAAAAGGAGAUUAAUACCCGAUGGUAUCAAGAGAUUGCAUGAUAACUUGAUUAAAGAAAUUCGGUUAUGCGAUGGGGAGUGCGUUCC
rnacentral:rRNA from 1 species